ACACUAUCAUUAACUGAAUCCAUAGGUUAAUGAGGCGAACCGGGGGAACUGAAACAUCUAAGUACCCCGAGGAAAAGAAAUCAACCGAGAUUCCCCCAGUAGCGGCGAGCGAACGGGGAGCAGCCCAGAGCCUGAAUCAGUGUGUGUGUUAGUGGAAGCGUCUGGAAAGGCGCGCGAUACAGGGUGACAGCCCCGUACACAAAAAUGCACAUGCUGUGAGCUCGAUGAGUAGGGCGGGACACGUGGUAUCCUGUCUGAAUAUGGGGGGACCAUCCUCCAAGGCUAAAUACUCCUGACUGACCGAUAGUGAACCAGUACCGUGAGGGAAAGGCGAAAAGAACCCCGGCGAGGGGAGUGAAAAAGAACCUGAAACCGUGUACGUACAAGCAGUGGGAGCCUCUUUUAUGGGGUGACUGCGUACCUUUUGUAUAAUGGGUCAGCGACUUAUAUUCUGUAGCAAGGUUAACCGAAUAGGGGAGCCGAAGGGAAACCGAGUCUUAACUGGGCGUUAAGUUGCAGGGUAUAGACCCGAAACCCGGUGAUCUAGCCAUGGGCAGGUUGAAGGUUGGGUAACACUAACUGGAGGACCGAACCGACUAAUGUUGAAAAAUUAGCGGAUGACUUGUGGCUGGGGGUGAAAGGCCAAUCAAACCGGGAGAUAGCUGGUUCUCCCCGAAAGCUAUUUAGGUAGCGCCUCGUGAAUUCAUCUCCGGGGGUAGAGCACUGUUUCGGCAAGGGGGUCAUCCCGACUUACCAACCCGAUGCAAACUGCGAAUACCGGAGAAUGUUAUCACGGGAGACACACGGCGGGUGCUAACGUCCGUCGUGAAGAGGGAAACAACCCAGACCGCCAGCUAAGGUCCCAAAGUCAUGGUUAAGUGGGAAACGAUGUGGGAAGGCCCAGACAGCCAGGAUGUUGGCUUAGAAGCAGCCAUCAUUUAAAGAAAGCGUAAUAGCUCACUGGUCGAGUCGGCCUGCGCGGAAGAUGUAACGGGGCUAAACCAUGCACCGAAGCUGCGGCAGCGACGCUUAUGCGUUGUUGGGUAGGGGAGCGUUCUGUAAGCCUGUGAAGGUGUGCUGUGAGGCAUGCUGGAGGUAUCAGAAGUGCGAAUGCUGACAUAAGUAACGAUAAAGCGGGUGAAAAGCCCGCUCGCCGGAAGACCAAGGGUUCCUGUCCAACGUUAAUCGGGGCAGGGUGAGUCGACCCCUAAGGCGAGGCCGAAAGGCGUAGUCGAUGGGAAACAGGUUAAUAUUCCUGUACUUGGUGUUACUGCGAAGGGGGGACGGAGAAGGCUAUGUUGGCCGGGCGACGGUUGUCCCGGUUUAAGCGUGUAGGCUGGUUUUCCAGGCAAAUCCGGAAAAUCAAGGCUGAGGCGUGAUGACGAGGCACUACGGUGCUGAAGCAACAAAUGCCCUGCUUCCAGGAAAAGCCUCUAAGCAUCAGGUAACAUCAAAUCGUACCCCAAACCGACACAGGUGGUCAGGUAGAGAAUACCAAGGCGCUUGAGAGAACUCGGGUGAAGGAACUAGGCAAAAUGGUGCCGUAACUUCGGGAGAAGGCACGCUGAUAUGUAGGUGAAGUCCCUUGCGGAUGGAGCUGAAAUCAGUCGAAGAUACCAGCUGGCUGCAACUGUUUAUUAAAAACACAGCACUGUGCAAACACGAAAGUGGACGUAUACGGUGUGACGCCUGCCCGGUGCCGGAAGGUUAAUUGAUGGGGUCAGCGCAAGCGAAGCUCUUGAUCGAAGCCCCGGUAAACGGCGGCCGUAACUAUAACGGUCCUAAGGUAGCGAAAUUCCUUGUCGGGUAAGUUCCGACCUGCACGAAUGGCGUAAUGAUGGCCAGGCUGUCUCCACCCGAGACUCAGUGAAAUUGAACUCGCUGUGAAGAUGCAGUGUACCCGCGGCAAGACGGAAAGACCCCGUGAACCUUUACUAUAGCUUGACACUGAACAUUGAGCCUUGAUGUGUAGGAUAGGUGGGAGGCUUUGAAGUGUGGACGCCAGUCUGCAUGGAGCCGACCUUGAAAUACCACCCUUUAAUGUUUGAUGUUCUAACGUUGACCCGUAAUCCGGGUUGCGGACAGUGUCUGGUGGGUAGUUUGACUGGGGCGGUCUCCUCCUAAAGAGUAACGGAGGAGCACGAAGGUUGGCUAAUCCUGGUCGGACAUCAGGAGGUUAGUGCAAUGGCAUAAGCCAGCUUGACUGCGAGCGUGACGGCGCGAGCAGGUGCGAAAGCAGGUCAUAGUGAUCCGGUGGUUCUGAAUGGAAGGGCCAUCGCUCAACGGAUAAAAGGUACUCCGGGGAUAACAGGCUGAUACCGCCCAAGAGUUCAUAUCGACGGCGGUGUUUGGCACCUCGAUGUCGGCUCAUCACAUCCUGGGGCUGAAGUAGGUCCCAAGGGUAUGGCUGUUCGCCAUUUAAAGUGGUACGCGAGCUGGGUUUAGAACGUCGUGAGACAGUUCGGUCCCUAUCUGCCGUGGGCGCUGGAGAACUGAGGGGGGCUGCUCCUAGUACGAGAGGACCGGAGUGGACGCAUCACUGGUGUUCGGGUUGUCAUGCCAAUGGCACUGCCCGGUAGCUAAAUGCGGAAGAGAUAAGUGCUGAAAGCAUCUAAGCACGAAACUUGCCCCGAGAUGAGUUCUCCCUGACCCUUUAAGGGUCCUGAAGGAACGUUGAAGACGACGACGUUGAUAGGCCGGGUGUGUAAGCGCAGCGAUG
rnacentral:rRNA from 1 species